AAGCCAUGGUAAGGACACUCUAAAAGAAGAUCCUUAAAAUGUUCCAUACACUUAGAAAAUGAUUCAUUUGGUUUUUGACGAAACUGGAGAAUGUCGUUCCUAAGUUU
rnacentral:snoRNA from 1 species